UUGCAUGUUGGUUGUGAACCUUCUGUGCACAUAUAUUGUUGUAGGAAGCAGUGCUCCAGUGCUGUUGACUCUAAGGCCUGAAGGUGUCUGGAGCAUUGGACUAUGAUAUGAUGUGGAGCUGGAGGGAAGAUGAGCAACUGGAAGAGAACUAACCAGGCUGUAGGCAGCACAUGAUGGAUGGAUGGGCUGAGACAGCGAGAUCGCAUAGUCUGCAUUCCCCUGGGAAACCAGACUGAAAACACAUAAGGCUCAAGACAGAAAUGUUGGAAAAAAAUCACCUGCCCCUGAGAAGAAUCCUCUGCAAUGUCAGACCGUGUCCAAAGGGUGUGAUCUGACAUGCUUCCAGCUCUUCUGAGAAGAAAAACGAAGGCUGUUCAUGAAAAAGCAAGAAGUUGACACCAGAUCCACUGAAGUAUUUAAGCUUUUAGCUCUCACUGAGAAGCUAAGUAGAAGUUAUAGGCUCGAUGUCUUGUGAAGCUGCCUCUUAGUUUAGAGGAUGCCAUUUGGAAUAUCUUUAAUGAGCUGGAGAGACAAACUGAGGAGACUCUCUUUAAGCUCAGCAAGGUGAGAUGUGAAGUCACAGCCGCUAAUAACCCAGUGUCUCCAUACAAGAUUUGUCCAACUGGCUUGACAGGAAAAGUCUAUGGACAACCAGUAGACCAUAAGUGAGUAACACAUGCUUGCAGCAAGAAUGGCUAUCAGCCUCCUGGGUUGCCCUAGGAGGAGCAUUUCCAGUGGAUUAAGGGAGGUGAUUUUUCUUCUCUAUUCAGCACAGUGAGAUCUGGAGUACUGAGUCCAGGUCUGGGUUCCUCAUUACAAGAGAGACACCAACAUACAGGAGAGAGUCCAGUGAAGAUCCAUGAAGAUGAUGAAAGGCCUGGAGAAUCUGACAUAUGAAGGGGUUGAGACAGUCGUGCAGCCUGGAUAAAAGAAGACUCCAGCAAUAUGUGUAAAUACCUGAUAGAAAGUGUAAAAAUGAUGGAGUCAGGUCUGUUUACUAGGGCCCAGUGACAAGACAGAAAGCAAGAGAUAAAAACUGAAAUGGAGGAAAUUUCAUUUAGUUGCAGGAAAAAAAGCUUAUUUUACCAUGAGGAUGUUCAAAUACUGCUUAAGUCUGGCAAUAGCCUGCAUUCAGAUGCUUUACUAUUUCCAGCUGCCGACAAUAAAUGAAUAUAAGCAUUUACAAAACCAAAUUAUUACCAAAUAAUUUCCAAAGGAUAAGAAAGACUGCACAUUUUGGUGUGUCCUGUUCUCUCAGUGGGGCACGUGUAACACCCUCUCAUGGAAUAGUGUUGUUUGUUUUCACUUCUGCAGACACAGCCCUGGGAAUGUUUUCAGUCGUGCUCUUCCACCCAAUCUGCACUAUGACUGAAUUUUCAUUUAGUGGAUUCCUAAUAGAUGUAACCCCUCCAGUACUUUGCAGGUAGAAGUACCUAUGGCUGAAAUGAUGAGAAGCACACCACAAGCAUGUCCAGAUAGUGGGGAAAGCCAGCAGAACCUUCUGAAGUGUUCUGCACUUGUGCCAACAAAAAUGUUGGGAUUGCUUGUUGUAUUAUAUAGUGAGAUGUUCCCCAGAAGCCAAGGUGUUGUAAAAUUCAUUUUAUUUAAUCAUGACCAUCACAUGGUGGGUUUCUUUUAAACAUUCUGGUUUCUGCAGGCAAAUUGUUUGGUAAUUUCUAUUUCUUGACUCUUGCCUUGCAGGCUAGAAAUUCACUUUUGUGAAAAAUAAAAAAUAAAAAUUUAUAGACAAAA